rnacentral:lncRNA from 1 species
GGGAGCCCAGGAGGCGGGGCGCCUGUGGGAGCCGUGGAGGGAACUUUCCCAGUCCCCGAGGCGGAUCCGGUGUUGCAUCCUUGGAGCGAGCUGAGAGCUCGAGAGACGGGGAUUUAGCUAUGUUGCCCAAGCUGGUCUGGAACUCCGGAGCUCAAGCAGUCCGCCCGCCUUGGCCCCCCAAAGCGCUGGAAUUACAGGCGUAAUGCACUGUGCCUGGCCUUUAAAAAAAAAUUGAGUACAGAACCUGCUAAGGCCAUCAAACCUAUUGAUCGGAAGUCAGUCCAUCAGAUUUGCUCUGGGCCGGUGGUACCGAGUCUAAGCACUGCGGUGAAGGAGUUAGUAGAAAACAGUCUGGAUGCUGGUGCCACUAAUAUUGAUCUAAAGCUUAAGGACUAUGGAGUGGAUCUCAUUGAAGUUUCAGGCAAUGGAUGUGGGGUAGAAGAAGAAAACUUCGAAGGCUUAACUCUGAAACAUCACACAUCUAAGAUUCAAGAGUUUGCCGACCUACCUCAGGUUGAAACUUUUGGCUUUCGGGGGGAAGCUCUGAGCUCACUUUGUGCACUGAGGUGAUAAAAUAUUUUUAUCCAUUCACUUGACCCCUUAGAAAAACCUCUCUGAAAAUUAAUUGGAAUCAUUAUUAUUUACAGUUUUCUGUCUCAAUAUCUCAGCUUCCAGCUUCUGAAUUCUGUUUUGUCUCACUGCCAAUCUAAGUCCUAGUACUUCUGAAAUGUGAGCAAUAAAUGAAUGAAAUGAAG